rnacentral:sRNA from 12 species
UUGCGUUAGCGAUUGAAAUGACAUCCUUUUUUUGCUGCCAUAUAUGGCAAAAAAAGAUAUAAUGGAAAGCGCGACCCUUG